UUUUAUAAACGUUUGCUAUAAAUAUGUUCAAUUAUUACAAACGGCGAUCAUUUAGCAGAACUUUUUAUUUUUGCAAUACCUUUAUAGCUACUGUUCUUUAAAUCUAUAUGUUUGUAUUUAUUUAACAAUGACGAUACCUGGAGUGGUAUGAUUAGGCAGAAUGUCCAGCCAGAUCGAAACUGGAGUAGUGAUUUGUUAUAAGAUGUGUGUAAGCCAUGGAUUGUGCAUAACAAACACCGUUUUCGAACAUAAGGAUGUUCAUAAGUGUACCUGCUACCAGAGCAUGCCAAGCCAGAGCUCAAUGAAGGAUUUUAUAGUCGUGUCGUCUGACCUGAGGUCAUGUGUUUUUGGACAGUUAAAUGAAGAGUGGGACCGCUAUCAACUGAUCCCCAUUUGCUGUGGAGUUGGAUUCAGUACAUGGGAAGGAGGUGCUGCCAUGCUGUUGGCCUCAUCCAGACAGGAGGCUUCUCCACAGGAUGGUUGGACACACUCUCAGUGACCGGGUGAGGAGUUCAGACUUCCGGAGGGACCUUGAAACAUUGCCACUGCUUCUCGAGGUUGAGAAGAGUCAGGUGAGAUGGUUCUGGCAUAUUGCAAGGCUGCUGUUCCGGGCACGUCCCACUGGACAGAGGACCCAGGGCAGACCCAGGAUAUGCCGGAGGGAUUAUAUUUCCCAGCUGGCCUGGGAACCUCUAGAGAUUCCCCAGAAUGAGCUGGAGUCUGUGGCAAAAUAAAGAAGAUAUUGGCAUGCCACCAUAGCGACCUUCACCAGGAAAAGAAGGAAAAAAAAAUGAUUAUAAUUAACUGCUGCAUACAUAUGAUCAAACUAUCCUUUUUUUUUUAUCCAGAUCAGCCAUUUGAGUGUUUUGGUUUGAUGAGCAUAAUUUUGUCCUAAGAAUCAUGUACAAUUUGUAAUAAGAAUUAUACAAAUGGGUAAUUUAUUAAGCAUGCAGAUUUUAAUCGAAAAUAACUGGUCAAUUUAAUUUGCAGUAACAUUAUUAUUCAUUGCAUAGGAAUACUUGGGGUAAACAACUAAUUAUAGUGUAGAACAACAUGGAUUUUGAGGUUUGAAUAGUCAAUACAAAGAAUGGAAUGUGACUUGAGGUACAAUGUGGAGGCAGGGAUGUUGCUUAUCGCUUGUCUGCAGCUUGAAUGUUUUAUGAAUGUUUUGUUUUUGCCAUGGAGUCUGGAAGUUAGAGAAGUACGUGUAGCCGUUGGAAUGGAAAGUCGGAUGACCGUGAAACCGAAGAGGGUCAGUGGCCUGAAGCGUAGCUGACGGAUGCAGAGAUCAGCUGCUCACUGGACCUUACUGUAUGUGUGGAGUGACUCUUGGGAAGAGAGUCAUGUGGACAAGGUGAAGAGUUCUGAAGCAAAAAUAAUACUAAAUGGAAUGUACAGGUACUCAAAGGCAUAAAGUGAAUGUCCUCAUGAUGUUAAUAUUUUAAAUGAAAUUUGUUCAUAUUUCUUUAAAGGAAAUAUUUUCCUUUGCUGUUUUCUUGCUGCAGAUUUUAUUUUUUAAAUGAUAAUUUUCAGUUCCUGUGUGUUCUUGAAAUGCACUAUAGAAUUUAUUCAACUGUGUACUGUAAGAAGGAAGUGUAUACUAUGAAAAAAAAGUGAAAGUACUGACUGUGGACAAACCGUGUGUCAGAAAAUGGUGUGGCAGGGAGAUGAACUUUGACAAUUUGAUGAAAGAUUUUGAAAGCAAGAGGCUAAAAUAAUGGGUGGCUUCAUUUGUGAUGAAAGAACAAUCAUACAAUAUAUCUUUUUUUGCAGUGAUAGGAAACAUAAUGGGCCAUGAAUUAUAUUUAAUCAGGAAGACAUUUUUUGUUACAUCAAUUCAUAGAAUUUUUGUUCCCGAAUUUUGCAUGUGUGUAAAAUUUUGGAUUAAGAGUUGAAUGAUGAAGUAAUAAAACACAGAGAAAUGUUA